UUAACAAAAACAUGUCUUUUUGAUUUUUAAUAUAAAGUCYAAUCUGCCCACUGAUAAAUUAUUUAAUGGCCGCAGUAUUUUAACUGUGCAAAGGUAGCAUAAUAAUUAGUUUUUUAAUUGAAGGCUUGUAUGAAUGAUUGGACGAGAUAUAAACUGUCUCAUAAAAAUUUUUUUAGAAUUUAAUUUUUUAGUUAAAAAGCUAAAAUAAAAUUAAAAGACGAGAAGACCCCAUAGAUCUUGAUAUUUUUAUUUGUUAUUAUUAUUUAGUUUUUUUAUAAAUUAAUAAAUAAAAAUAUUUUGUUGGGGUGAUAUUGAAAUUUAAUAAACUUUCAAAAUUUAAUAACAUUAAUUUAUGAAUUUAUGAUCCUUUAUUAUUGAUUAAAAAUUUAAGUUACCUUGGGGAUAACAGCGUAAUUAUUUUGAAGAGUUCAUAUCGAUAAAAUAGAUUGCGACCUCGAUGUUGGAUUAAGAUUAAUUUUGGGUGUAGUAGUUUAAAAUAUWAAGUCUGUUCGACUUUUAAUUUCUUACGUGAUC
rnacentral:rRNA from 1 species